GUGAACGCUGGCGGCGUGCCUAAUACAUGCAAGUCGAACGGAGAUUAAGUAGCUUGCUAUUUAAUCUUAGUGGCGCACGGGUGAGUAAUAUAUAGCUAACUUGCCCAUUACUAAGGGACAACAGUUGGAAACGACUGCUAAUACCUUAUACUCCGUAUCUAUAUAAGUAGAUACGGGAAAGUUUUUCGGUAAUGGAUAGGGCUAUAUCGUAUCAGCUAGUUGGUAAGGUAAUGGCUUACCAAGGCUAUGACGCGUAACUGGUCUGAGAGGAUGAUCAGUCACACUGGAACUGAGACACGGUCCAGACUCCUACGGGAGACAGCAGUAGGGAAUAUUGCUCAAUGGGGGAAACCCUGAAGCAGCAACGCCGCGUGGAGGAUGACACUUUUCGGAGCGUAAACUCCUUUUCUUGGGAAAGAAUUAUGACGGUACCCAAGGAAUAAGCACCGGCUAACUCCGUG
rnacentral:rRNA from 1 species